AUGGAGCUGCUGGGGAGAUCGCUCCUGCAGGCAGGCUCUGCAAGCACCGCGGCGCCGCGCGGCGGCCGGGAGCGCGCGGGCGGCGGGCUCUGCUUCGCGAGCCUGGGCGGGAGGCCGUCGAGGAGGACGGUGAGGUCGAAGGCGCCGGUGGGCGCCCUGGCCGAGCGGGUCGUCCUCACCCCGGCGCCGGCGGAGAGGGUGGCCCGGCCGGAGGCGCACCCGCAGAGCGUGGCGGCGAGGGCCGUGGUCACCGUGCGCCGGAAGCGCAAGGUGGAGGUCAAGGAGCAGGUCGCCGAGCAGAUGGACGCCUACGCCGACAGGGUCGGCCGGAGCGUCCUGCUCGAGCUCAUCAGCACGGAGACGGACCCGAGAAAGGGAGGCCCCAAGAAGAGCAGGAAGUCGAGGCUGGUGGGGUGGUUCGAGAAGCGGGACGUCAAGGCGGAGCUGGUGGUGUACACGGCGGGGUUCACCGUCGACGCGGCCUUCGGCGAGCCGGGCGCGGUCACCGUCCUCAACCGGCACCAGCGCGAGUUCUUCAUCGAGAGCAUCCUGGUGGAGGGCUUCCCGUCCGGCCCGGCGCACUUCACCUGCAACUCGUGGGUCCAGCCCACCCGCGUCGACCCCACCCCGCGGGUCUUCUUCACCAACAAGCCCUACCUGCCGUCCAAGACGCCGCCGGGGCUGAGGGAGCUCCGGCGACGGGAGCUCAAGGAGCUGCGCGGCAGCGGCACCGGCGUGCGCAAGACCACCCACCGGGCCUACGACUACGACGUGUACAACGACCUGGGCAACCCGGACAAGGGCGCCGGGUUCGAGCGCCCCGUCCUCGGCGGCGACAAGCUCCCGUACCCGCGGCGGAUGCGGACGGCCCGGCCAAGCACCGUCACAGACGAGGGCGCGGAGAGCAGGGUGGAGUACCCGGAGCCCAUCUACGUGUCGCGGGACGAGGAGUUCGAGGAGGGCAAGAACGAGAUGCUGUCCGAGGGCGCCAUCAAGGCGCUGCUCCACAACUUCAUGCCGCUGCUGGUGAGCUCCGUCUCGCCGGACAGCCGCGACUUCGCCGGCUUCCACGACGUCGACAACCUCUUCAAGGAGGGCCUCCGCCUCAAGCAGGCCCUGCACGACCAGCUCUUCCAGAAGAUCCCCUUCGUGCGCAAGAUCCAGGAGAACAGCGAGGGCCUCCUCCGCUACGACACCCCCGACAUCAUCAAGAAGGACAAGUUCGCGUGGCUGCGCGACGACGAGUUCGCGAGGCAGGCGCUGGCUGGCAUCAACCCCGUCAACAUCCAGCGGCUUCAGGUGUUCCCGCCGGUGAGCAGGCUCGACCCGGCCGUCUACGGCCCGCCGGAGUCGGCCAUCACGGAGGAGCACAUCAUCGGGAACCUGGACGGCAUGUCGGUGCAGCAGGCGCUGGAGGAGAACAAGCUCUACAUGCUGGACUACCACGACAUCUUCAUGCCUUUCCUGGACCGGAUCAACUCGCUGGACGGCCGCAAGGCCUACGGGACGCGCACGCUCUUCUUCCUGACGGCCGGGGGCACGCUGAAGCCCAUCGCCAUCGAGCUGUGCCUGCCGCCGAUGACCGACGACUGCAAGCGCGCCAAGCGGGUGUUCACGCCCCCCGCCGACGCCACCAGUAUCUGGCUGUGGCAGCUCGCCAAGGCCCAUGUCUGCUCCAACGACGCCGGCGUCCACCAGCUCAUCAACCACUGGCUGAGGACGCACGCGUGCAUGGAGCCCUUCAUCAUCGCGGCGCACCGGCAGAUGAGCGCCAUGCACCCCAUCUUCAAGCUGCUCAAGCCGCACAUGCGGUACACGCUUAAGAUCAACGCGCUGGCGCGGCAGAUCCUCAUCAACGGAGACGGCGUGAUCGAGUCCGGGUUCACCCCCGGCCGCUACUGCAUGGAGAUGAGCUCCUUCGCCUACGACAACCUCUGGCGGCUCGACCAGGAAGGCCUCCCCGCCGACCUCAUCAGAAGAGGUAUGGCCGUGGAGGACGCGAGCCAGCCGCACGGGCUCCGGCUGCUCAUCGAGGACUACCCCUACGCCACCGACGGGCUGCUCCUCUGGUCGGCCAUCGCGCGGUGGUGCGAGGCCUACGUGGCGGCCUACUACCCCUCCGACGAGGCCGUGCAGGACGACUACGAGCUGCAGUCAUGGUACACGGAGGCCGUGCAGGUGGGGCACCCGGACAAGUGCGACGCGCCGUGGUGGCCGCGCCUCACGACGGCCGGCGACCUCGCGUCCCUGCUCACGACGCUGGUGUGGCUGUGCUCGGCGCAGCACGCGGCGCUCAACUUCGGCCAGUACCCGCUCGGCGGCUACAUCCCCAACCGGCCGCCGCUCAUGCGCCGGCUGGUGCCGGCCGAGGGCGACCCGGAGUACGAGCACCUCGUCGCGGACCCGCACCGGUUCUACCUGUCGGCGCUGCCCAGCCUCACGCAGACGACGACGUUCAUGACGGUCAUCGACACGCUGUCCACGCACUCCGCCGACGAGCAGUACCUCGGGGAGCGGCCCAACGAGGAGUGGACGGCGGACCCGGCGGCGCUGGCUGCUGCGCAAGAGUUCGCGGCGGAGGUGCGCCGCGCCGAGGAGGAGAUCGAGCGGCGCAACGCCGACCCCGCCCGGCGCAACCGCUGUGGCGCCGGCGUGCUGCCGUACGAGCUCAUGGCGCCGUCGUCCGGGCCGGGCAUCACCUGCCGAGGCGUCCCGAACAGCGUCACCAUCUAG
rnacentral:rRNA from 1 species